rnacentral:rRNA from 1 species
UACGUAGGAGGCGAGCGUUGUCCGGAGUUACUGGGCGUAAAGGGUGCGCAGGCGGCGUCACGCGUGGAUAGUUGAAAUCUCCUGGCUUACCUGGGAGGGUGGUAUCCAGACGGUGGCGCUUGAGGGUCGGAGAGGGGCGUGGAAUUCCGGGUGGAGCGGUGAAAUGCGUAGAGAUCCGGAAGAACACCAGUGGCGAAGGCGGCCCGCUGGGCAGUGGCUGACGCUGAAGCGCGACAGCGUGGGGAGCAAACAGG